rnacentral:rRNA from 1 species
UGGGGAAUUUUGGACAAUGGGCGCAAGCCUGAUCCAGCAAUGCCGCGUGCAGGAUGAAGGCCUUCGGGUUGUAAACUGCUUUUGUACGGAGCGAAAAGGUCUGCUCUAAUACGGUGGGCUCAUGACGGUACCGUAAGAAUAAGCACCGGCUAACUACGUGCCAGCAGCCGCGGUAAUACGUAGGGUGCAAGCGUUAAUCGGAAUUACUGGGCGUAAAGCGUGCGCAGGCGGGUAUGCAAGACAGAGGUGAAAUCCCCGGGCUCAACCUGGGAACUGCAUUGGUGACUGGAUAGCUAGAGUACGGCAGAGGGGGAUGGAAUUCCGCGUGUAGCGGUGAAAUGCGUAGAUAUGCGGAGGAACACCGAUGGCGAAGGCACUCCCCUGGGCAUGUACUGACGCUGAUGCACGAAAGCGUGGGGAGCAAACA